rnacentral:rRNA from 1 species
UACGAAGGGGGCUAGCGUUGCUCGGAAUCACUGGGCGUAAAGCGCACGUAGGCGGGUCGUUAAGUCGGGGGUGAAAUCCUGGAGCUCAACUCCAGAACUGCCUUUGAUACUGGCGAUCUUGAGUCCGGGAGAGGUGAGUGGAACUGCGAGUGUAGAGGUGAAAUUCGUAGAUAUUCGCAAGAACACCAGUGGCGAAGGCGGCUCACUGGCCCGGUACUGACGCUGAGGUGCGAAAGCGUGGGGAGCAAACAGG